ensembl:lncRNA
AACGAGAUUAGCCAGGCAUAAAAGAUGUCUGCAUAGUGGUAUGGACGCCUACUAUUGCCAGCCAGUCUGGAUAUUAAAUAAAAUCGCUUACUGCCCUGAUAUCCUUUUAUAGUCUGAAAUAGGAGAAUGUCUCCUGCACAGAAAAUCUGUCACAAGGGGAGAGUCUCAAAUAUAGGGGAGUCCUCUGUUUUUAAACUCCCCUUUUCAUUCGAAGUGUAGCCUACCUACCUUCACACAAAAGCGAAAACAAAAAUUAAAGCGGAACUAAACAAAAGAUCACAGGACUUAUGCCGCUGAUCAUUUGUGUGUAAAUUAAUAGUGAGCGAUCUGUUUAGUUAACAGUUUCCUAGCCCUUCGAUUCCCUGAAUUUCAUUGAUUUGUGAGUAAACACGUCAUGCCGUAAGUUUCGCUUUCACAUAAAGUGCAGCACUUGGGAGAGGAGGCUCAAAUGCUAUUAGCUAGCCUGAAGCCUGAACUUCAGUUUCACUCCUCGUAUUAUUGGUGCCGGCUUGAGAAAGAAGUGACAACAAGGUUCAGUAAGGCUUUACCCAACAGGUAGGCUUUUUGGUAAAUAUUUGUUUUAAGAAUAAAGAAUGGUGAAAGUAUUUAUCAUCUUUGCUGGAAACACUCUGAACACUCAUGCAAAGUUUUGGCAGCGCCUGGUCAGAAGUAACGAUGCGGAGGAAGUGGCCAACGUUAGAGACUGUGAUGUGACCCUCACAUUCUGUCCAAUCGUCUCACGAGUUGGAACUGAUGUAGAGGCAGCCGUCCAGCUGAUCCCAACAACUAGACCUGGAGUCCUGGUAUUACUGCACCCAACCUUUAACCCAGAGGAAAUAGUCCCAGACGCCAACAGAUUUGUAACCAGUGCUAAAAUCCUGACUGUCAACUGCUUGUUCCACGAGGGCACCCUACUGGACAGCCAUUGCAAUGACGAAGCCUUUGAAAGCGUUUCCAGUUACUUAAGGAAAAUUGCCCCACAUACUAGCUAUGAACUUCCUUCUCCACCUCAUAAUCGAAACCAUGGUUACAACUCCAUGCACAUGGUGGGGAUAACUGUCACACUAUUGGGUUUAAUCUUUAUUAUUUAUCUUUAUCUUAUGCCAUCGCUCCAAGACAAGCCAAUGGCCAGAGGUGGAAAUUCCACCUCCUCUUCACAUCUGUCAACCUAAAAUUUAAAAUGACAUGUAGUUGUUUAUGAACAAAAAUAAAUGAUCAGUCAAACCAAGAAAACAUUUUCAUACUCUUGAAUCAUCCUCAAAUAUACCAACUUUAACAAAACAUACAUGAUUGCACUGUCUACAAGAUUGUGUUUAAAAAACAAUAUACUUAUACCAUGUCAUGACAUGUCAUAUCACACCCCGUGAGCAGAAUUUGUUAAUGGUAAACUCUAGCAGAUUUGACCAGCUAUAAUAUGGUAGGUCUUCUAUCUCAGAAUUGUCUGGAAUUUCCACACACUUCGACAUAAAAUAGGCCUUAUUCAAUUCAGAGUUUGUAACUGAAGCUUCUCUUUCACACACUGUUUUUCAAAAGUUGGAAUAAUGCUUACUGGUGUGCAAUCAUGUCUCUUUUGCACUAUAAUAACUUCUGUUCUGCUGUAUCAUGUUUAAUUUGGAACACAUUUAGAAAGUUUAAGGAUUUAAAAUGAGACCUCAGCAAUUGUGAUGUUAACAUGUGGCAUAAAGAAAGUGAUGAAAUUAAAGACCUAUUAUGGGAGAAUUGGUAUUUUUUGCUAUUGAGCUCCCUCUAAAGAUGGAGAGUGUAGCUUACUUUUCAUGGAAAGUGUGUCUGCUUCUCAGAUGGAAGCUGGAAGAUUAUUCCACAGGAGAGGGUCUCGAUAGCAGAAGGCUCUGCCUCCUAUUGUGCUUUUUGACUUUCUUGGAAUUACAGAUCUGCACUCUGGGAACGAAGUGUUUUUGGUGUUAGAAGGAGUACUUUGAAAUCAAUUAUUCUUUUGACAGAGAGGCCAGUACAGGUGAGAUGUUCAAUAUAUUUUUUAGCUCUAGUAAGUGUGCGAGCAGAAACAUUCAGUAUGAGUUGGAGGCUCUUUAUUGAGUUGUUGCUAUGUCCAGACAGGAGAGGAUUGUUAGUUUAGUUUUUCGGCAUCUUGGAGGGAUAGGACUUUUCUAAUUUUGGCAAUAUUGCGUAGAUGAAAAAAUAGUGUCUGAGUUCUGUUUUCUGUGUAAGUCUAGUAGAAGGUAUUCGUUUAUAAUUAUACAGAGAUUUUUGGUGGAGUGUUGGAUGUUAAUAAGAUGCCAUUGAGUGUGGUAGAUGGUUAGAUAAUGCCAUUCUCGAUUGUUUAGGGCCUACAAGCAUAACCUCAGUUUUAUCUGAGUUAGGGAGCAGGAAGUUGUUAGUCAUCCAUGCUUAACAUCUUGCAAGCAAGCUUCCAUCUUGGGUAGCUGUACAAUUUCCUCAGAGUUCAUGGAUAGGUAGUCGGGCUAGCUAACCUGCAUAACAUUACUUAACUGUCGAUACGGUCGUCUGCUUGUUGUCAUUAGGUGAACGCUCUAAACUCGGAAGUAGGACCUUCCGGAAUGGGAACUUUCUCCAAUUCCCAGUUGCCCGAAUGCACACUGAGCAUGCACGUCUAAUUUCUCAUGUACAUCUGUCCUUUUGUUGAUGACACAACGAAAGGAAGGGAGAAUUAAGAGGGUGUCUUUAACUAUUAAUCUUUAACUUGCAUGUGGCAUCAGGAAGUACAUGCCACUGGCAGGAGGCGGGACAUGCACUUCAUGUACUCAGAGGUGUAAAGUAACGAAUUACUUUUACUCACGUUACUGUAAUUGAGUAGUUUUUUUGUGUACUUUGUAAUUUUUAAGUAGUUUUUGAAAUCGGUAAUUUUACUUUUACUUAAGUAGAUUUUGACUGAAGUAUUGUACUUCGCUACAUUGGACAUUACAUCCGUUACUGAGUAAAAAAAAAAACAUAGUUCAAGGCGGGAAUCGCGCACCACAAUUCUCACUGCAAUGGUGGAUGCUGCAUAGAGUAAAUGAUGGAGUCAUGCAAGGAGCCGGUACGGUGCCGAGUCACGAGAGAUAGAUAUGGAGGAAGAUGAUAGUGCGGACUACCAACAAGCUGAAGCACCGAACUUUCCGCCAGUUGAAAUUAAAGAAGAUGAAGAAAACCCGUGGCCAUAUCUCAGCAAGCAGUUUGCCUUCCAACGUAAAAGAGGCAACAGCUAUAUGCUGUGUAAACUGUGCCUAAUCCGCCAGUCAGAACUUUCUGCUUAUACAAAUUCAUCUUCAAAUCUGCGCAAGCAUGUGUUGGUAAGUACAGUAUUUGUCCCUUUCCAUUAGUAGUUCAGACAGCGUUUUUGUCAUUUAGUUAGCUUUGCUCCAUUAAGCAAAAUAUGCGUUUCAUGGCACUAGUAGGUAGUAGCCUAAUUUUGGCUAGCACUUGCAACCGACCUGAGUAUGCUAACGUCGACAGCGGUCAUCCAAUAGACUAAUAAUACCAUUCCUGUCUUCCAUUCGUUUC